ensembl:lncRNA
UGCUCCUGGUCUUUAUUAAGACAAUGCAGACAUAAAACACAUCAUAUUGCAAUUCCUAAAUUGCAGCCAUAUCACUUAUCAAUGGCCAAUAAAUUAUUUCACUUGUAUAACAGAUACAAAUGCUCCAUUCAAGUUCAGUUAAUAGAAUAGUGUCAGGAUGUCAUGCAGACAGCUUGCAUAAAUACACAAGGAAUAAUAGCAUACUCUUAGUAGCAUCUGUGAUUUUCAAGCAGGAAAACUUUGUCUUAUUCCAAAUUUCAAAAUAUGGAAUAAAGAAUGUUUUCAUAUAAAAUUCAUUUGGAACAGUUGGGUUUUUUUUCUCUUUAAAAAGGCAUCUAAUCCACCUGCAACAUACAUUUGCAAUCCAUCUUUUUAGUUACAAAGUCAGAUAUAUAUUCUUUUUCAUCUCAUGUGAUCAAUUGUGGACAUUUCAGUGAUUUCCAACAAUAUCAAACAGCGAAAUUCAAAAUAAUAUUUUUGUGAUGUUAUAUAUAUAUUUAUAAUCAAAGGAAGAAAGACUUGUCAAUUUCAUCUUUGGGCACUAUUUUUCUAUUUUAUCAGAUAAUGGAAAGUCAUUAGUUGUUUCACAGUAUAAAAUCUGGAAUCAAUUACCAACACUGCUUUAUUUUCUGCUCCUAAUUUCGAAAUGUAUUUGGACUGGAGGUACGGGAGAAAUGUUACUGCUUACCAAACAACUUUCCUGGAAAUUUUAAUGCACAAAAUUUCCAGAUUUGGAUCUUCCAAAAUAAGUUAUUUAAAAAAUGAAAUUAAGAAAAGAGGCGGGGGAAGCCUACAGUUUAUAUUCUGCGCGAAUAACUUUUAAUAUCUUCCAGGUGGGGGCAACAGUAAGUCAGUUUUGAGAGGAGAGGGGAGAACGGGCUCUUUAAGCUCCCUGAGUCCAGUUACAGAAGAUGAAAUGGCUUCCUGAUUGUUACACCGUGAAUGAAAUAACCUUAAGUUUCCAGGAGCCCAGUUUCCGGGACUCUUGGGCUCUGCCAGACCCUGGGCAGCAAGAUCAUCAUCUCGUGUGCCGCGCCACCUCUCUGCACCGCGGAGACGGCAAGCGGACCCGAGAGCGCACGCGCGCUGCGCACCUGCCCAAUCGCGGACAGUUGCGGGAGGUUGGUACGUCCAGUCUCCCCACUCGCGCCCGCACCGUGUCCCGGGGGAGUGUACAUCACUCUCAGCGCUCCAGGUCACUCACUUUCCAGGACCUCCAGAGGCAAGGAAACCUUUCUCUCACGUUUACAUCUCAUUCAUUCUUCCUCUGGACAAUUCAAGGCCACUCACAACUGCUGCAGAUGUGUGUGCGCGCGCGCACCUAUACUCUUAAAGAAACUCUAAAGUCACCGCAGCCAGAAAACCACCUUUCAGGCGGGGCGACGGGGGUUCCACUCCUCUCUCCUCUUCUCUUCGCAAAUCCUCGCACUCUGGGGAAGGACGGCUGCCCACGCUGGCGAGGAUGAAGGUGCUGCAUGAAGUGGAGAUGGAUCUUGCACAGACCGGGAAGAUGGACUCCCAAGAGGCAUCUCCGCCUCAUCGAUGUCCCUCUCUGGCCCAGUGCGGAGGAGGCGGGACGUGGAGAGCCCGAGAGGAGGAAACCCCAGGCCCUGCAGUGGCCGGGCGGCGAUGGGGUGCGCGUCCGGGGUCCGCAGGGAGAGGGCGGAGAAGCUCGAGCGCACCGAGCCAGUGGCCCCCUCCUCUCGGGCCGCGCGCGGCUGGAGGUGCGGGCAGGUGGCCGGCAUGCGGUCUGGCUACGUGUCGCUCCUCCGCGGGCCGCUCGCCGCCCGCGCCCUCGGGCCGCCGCCGCCGCCGCCGCCGCUGCCGCCUCCAGCCGAGCCCGCGGCAGCGCCGUCGGGCCGGUACUUGAGCCAGCAGAUGACCCAAGUGACGACGACUGAGAAGAGCGCCAAGAUGCUGGCCACCGACAGGCAGAUGGGCCCCACGGGCGAGGGCGAGGGCGACCCAGCCGCUGGGGCCGCGCCAGGGGGCGCUCCGCCGCCGGGGGGUCCUCCGCCGCCACCGCCGCCGUAGUGGUUGACGAAGAUGAGGCCGGUGAAGAGCAGCACCACCAUGGAGAGGAAGGAGAAGACGACGCACACGCAGCCGGCGGUUGGACCUCACCCUAUGAAGAGAGAACCCCUCCCCUCGAACCCCCAGCAAGGAACAGGAAGGGGAUGGCUCUCUGGGUUCUCAGGAGGUGGCAAUGUCCCCUCUUUCUCUCUGGAUUCUCAGCAGAAGACAGCAAGAUGCCCCAGGGAAUAUUUGUGGAAAACGACGAAUGAAUGGGGAACAGGCUGAAGGAAAGGAAAGAAAGCUACUGGUUGGCAAUAGAAACCAGUGAACACGAGAGGCAGAAUGCUUGCCUUCAUGGAGCUUAUCUUCUGGUCUAUGUGGAUGUGCAUGAGAGACAGACAAUCAACCAAGAAAUGAAUAUGUAAUAUGAUCAGAAGUGGAAAGUGCUAUGGAGAAAAGUAUAGCAGGAUAGAAGGAAGUGUUGGGAUGUGGAAGGAGUGGUGUGCUGUUUUAAAUAAGGUGGCCAGGAAGGCCCAUCUAAUAAAGUGACAUUUGAGCAAAGACCUUAAGGAAGGGAGAGAGAGAGAACCAUGUGGCUCUCCAAAGGAACAGUGCCCCAAGCAAACCGAACAGCAUGUGCAAAAGUCCUGAGGUGGGAGCAUGUUUGAUGUAUCCCAGGAACGGCAAGAAAGCCGAUGGCAGGAGCAGAGUGAGCUAGGGAUGGGGAUGGGAGAUAAGGAUGGAUUGGGUGAGACUGAUGGGUUCUGUACGUGAACGUGAGGCCCACAGAAUCUGCUGGCAUGGGG